AGUAGUAGCAGCCUCUUCUGACAAGUUUGGAGCCAAUGAUUCAGCAUCAAAUAUUUUGUAGUGUAUCUGUACCCCUUUAAACUCACAAAAGCAACUCUCAGGAUCAGCCAAAAGUUUGGGAUCUUGUAAAUCAUCCUGAUCUAUGCCUGCUAUUCUCUGCUUUUUUGGCUUGGGUUUGACACCUCCCAAGAGUUGCUCUGUGCAGAAUAGUCAAUAAUUAGCAGGAAGCAUGUCAAGAUAUAGAUAGCAUUAGGAAGAGAAAGAGGAUGACAAUUGUUACUUUUCUCUCUGGUACAGCUAUAGCUAUUCUGUUCCCCGAGAGAACUGGAAAACAUAUAUAGGAGUAAAUCUUGUUGAAUUUUCCCUUAGAAUACUGAUAAACAAUGAUAAAUAUUCCUUCCUUUUCGAAAAAAAAAAAAGAUUGCUUCUACAAUAACAUAUUCAAAGACAGCUUAUGAAACCAUUUCCUUUACUAGGAUUUUCUUGAAUAGGGAAAAUUUAGUAAUCUUUAGAGAUCUAGAAAAGAAUUAUGAAAGGGGUUAGCAAUGACAUAGGAUUGUCGUUGCUUCAGAAAAAAAAUCAAUUAAGAGAACCGAAUUUACUAGCUUUAUGCCUAUACAGAUGAAAAUUGAGCUAAUACGGAUGAACUGAUCUCAUUAGAAAGGCCAUUCUGGUUAAAGAAGCUAAUUUUGAAGGUAAACCUAAAUUGUCUCAUCAUAAGAACCCACUACGCUGAUACGUAGUAGUAACCGUUGCAGUAUAUAAGAAAAAGGGAUUCUUUUGGCGACCCUUUUGAUUCUGUAAAACUUGUAUAAACAUAACUCCUACUAAGAUGAUGGUUUGUGGUUGCUCCAUUUUAUAUCAGUAAGCAAGCAAAUUUAACCGCUUCUUUUCUCGCUCUAGCAAAUAGGAAGCAUUGUAACAUGAUAUACCAACAAGAAACAGACAAGAAAAUUUAUGUUUAAUCAAUAUAUAUAUAUAUAUAAGCCUGGUUUGAUCUACCAGAAUAUUCUGUAGGGGAAGAAGAAGAAGAAGCAGCAGAGGCAGUAGCUCUAGGGACAAAUUUGGAGGAAGCAUCAUGUAUCAGAGCCAGUUGAGAUUUCCCACAAGUUUGCAGUGGCAACCCAUGUGGGGUUUUGCGGUUUGGAAGAAGCUUUGGCAGUUGUUGAGGAGGGCAGCAGCAGCUCCCAAACAACACUAACUGCUGACGAU
rnacentral:lncRNA from 1 species